GACGAACGCUGGCGGCGUGCUUAACACAUGCAAGUCGAACGGAAAGGCCCUGCUUUUGUGGGGUGCUCGAGUGGCGAACGGGUGAGUAACACGUGAGUAACCUGCCCUUGACUUUGUGAUAACUUCAGGAAACUGGGGCUAAUACCGGAUAGGAGCUCCUGCUGCAUGGUGGGGGUUGGAAAGUUUCGGCGGUUGGGGAUGGACUCGCGGCUUAUCAGCUUGUUGGUGGGGUAGUGGCUUACCAAGGCUUUGACGGGUAGCCGGCCUGAGAGGGUGACCGGACACAUUGGAACUGAGAUCCGGCCCAGACUCCUACGGGAGGCAGCAGUGGGGAAUAUUGCACAAUGGGCGGAAGCCUGAUGCAGCAACGCCGCGUGCGGGAUGACGGCCUUCGGGUUGUAAACCGCUUUCGCCUGUGACGAAGCGUGAGUGACGGUAAUGGGUAAAGAAGCACCGGCUAACUACGUG
rnacentral:rRNA from 1 species